rnacentral:rRNA from 1 species
GACGAACGCUGGCGGCGUGCUUAACACAUGCAAGUCGAGCGGUAAGGCCCUUUCGGGGGUACACGAGCGGCGAACGGGUGAGUAACACGUGGGUGACCUGCCCUCAGCUCUGGGAUAAGCCUGGGAAACCGGGUCUAAUACCGGAUAUGACUCCAUGACGCAUGUUGUGGGGUGGAAAGCCUUGUGCGGCUGAGGAUGGGCCCGCGGCCUAUCAGCUUGUUGGUGGGGNGAUGGCCUACCAAGGCGACGACGGGUAGCCGGCCUGAGAGGGCGACCGGCCACACUGGGACUGAGACACGGCCCAGACUCCUACGGGAGGCAGCAGUGGGGAAUCUUGCGCAAUGGGCGAAAGCCUGACGCAGCGACGCCGCGUGAGGGAUGACGGCCUCGGUUGUAACGUA